rnacentral:misc_RNA from 1 species
CGGGCGUCCUCACAAAUUACCUGCAUUCAGAGAUUCAUACCGGCACAGGCUGGUAUGUGAAGUCCCAUUAUGGGGCCUUAGCUCAGCUGGGAGAGCACCUGCUUUGCAAGCAGGGGGUCGUCGGUUCGAUCCCGACAGGCUCCACCAUUUGAGUGAAAAGACUUUGGGUCUGUAGCUCAGGUGGUUAGAGCGCACCCCUGAUAAGGGUGAGGUCGGUGGUUCGAGUCCUCCCAGACCCACCACUCUGAAUGUAGUGCAUACUUAAGAAUUUAUAUGGAUCAGCGUUGAGGCUGAUCUAUGUUCUUUUAUAACUUGUGACGUAGCGAGCGUUUGAGAUAUCUAUCUAAACGUGUCGUUGAGGCUAAGGCGGGGACUUCGAGUCCCUAAAUAAUUGAGUCGUAUGUUCGCGUUGGUGGCUUUGUACCCCACACAACACGACAUGUAGCUCCGAGGCAACUUGGGGUUAUAUGGUCAAGCGAAUAAGCGCACACGGUGGAUGCCUAGGCGGUCAGAGGCGAUGAAGGACGUGGUAGCCUGCGAAAAGUGUCGGGGAGCUG